rnacentral:rRNA from 1 species
GAUGAACGCUGGCGGCGUGCCUAAUACAUGCAAGUCGAGCGAACAGACGAGGAGCUUGCUCCUCUGACGUUAGCGGCGGACGGGUGAGUAACACGUGGAUAACCUACCUAUAAGACUGGGAUAACUUCGGGAAACCGGAGCUAAUACCGGAUAAUAUAUUGAACCGCAUGGUUCAAUAGUGAAAGACGGUUUUGCUGUCACUUAUAGAUGGAUCCGCGCCGCAUUAGCUAGUUGGUAAGGUAACGGCUUACCAAGGCGACGAUGCGUAGCCGACCUGAGAGGGUGAGCGGCCAGACUGGAACUGAGACACGGUCCAGACUCCUACGGGAGGCAGCAGUAGGGAAUCUUCCGCAAUGGGCGAAAGCCUGACGGAGCAACGCCGCGUGAGUGAUGAAGGUCUUCGGAUCGUAAAACUCUGUUAUUAGGGAAGAACAAAUGUGUAAGUACCUAUGCACGUCUUGACGGUACCUAAUCAGAAAGCCACGGCUAACUACGUG